CAGCCCUAAACGAUGCGCGUUAGGUGUAUCGGUGACCACGAGUCACCGAGGUGCCGAAGGGAAACCGUGAAACGUGCCGCCUGGGAAGUACGGUCGCAAGGCUGAAACUUAAAGGAAUUGGCGGGGGGAGCACCACAACCGGGUGGAGCCUGCGGUUUAAUUGGACUCAACGCCGGGAAGCUCACCGGAUAAGACAGCGGAAUGAUUGCCGGGCUGAAGACCCUGCAUGACCAGCUGAGAGGAGGUGCAUGGCGUAGUCGUGU
rnacentral:rRNA from 1 species